rnacentral:rRNA from 1 species
AGAGUUUGAUCCUGGCUCAGGAUGAACGCUGGCGGCGUGCCUAAUACAUGCAAGUCGAACGAGUUCUCGUUGAUGAUCGGUGCUUGCACCGAGAUUCAACAUGGAACGAGUGGCGGACGGGUGAGUAACACGUGGGUAACCUGCCCUUAAGUGGGGGAUAACAUUUGGAAACAGAUGCUAAUACCGCAUAGAUCCAAGAACCGCAUGGUUCUUGGCUGAAAGAUGGCGUAAGCUAUCGCUUUUGGAUGGACCCGCGGCGUAUUAGCUAGUUGGUGAGGUAAUGGCUCACCAAGGCGAUGAUACGUAGCCGAACUGAGAGGUUGAUCGGCCACAUUGGGACUGAGACACGGCCCAAACUCCUACGGGAGGCAGCAGUAGGGAAUCUUCCACAAUGGACGCAAGUCUGAUGGAGCAACGCCGCGUGAGUGAAGAAGGCUUUCGGGUCGUAAAACUCUGUUGUUGGAGAAGAAUGGUCGGCAGAGUAACUGUUGUCGGCGUGACGGUAUCCAACCAGAAAGCCACGGCUAACUACGUGCCAGCAGCCGCGGUAAUACGUAGGUGGCAAGCGUUAUCCGGAUUUAUUGGGCGUAAAGCGAGCGCAGGCGGUUUUUUAAGUCUGAUGUGAAAGCCCUCGGCUUAACCGAGGAAGCGCAUCGGAAACUGGGAAACUUGAGUGCAGAAGAGGACAGUGGAACUCCAUGUGUAGCGGUGAAAUGCGUAGAUAUAUGGAAGAACACCAGUGGCGAAGGCGGCUGUCUGGUCUGUAACUGACGCUGAGGCUCGAAAGCAUGGGUAGCGAACAGGAUUAGAUACCCUGGUAGUCCAUGCCGUAAACGAUGAAUGCUAGGUGUUGGAGGGUUUCCGCCCUUCAGUGCCGCAGCUAACGCAUUAAGCAUUCCGCCUGGGGAGUACGACCGCAAGGUUGAAACUCAAAGGAAUUGACGGGGGCCCGCACAAGCGGUGGAGCAUGUGGUUUAAUUCGAAGCAACGCGAAGAACCUUA